rnacentral:rRNA from 1 species
GACGAACGCUGGCGGCGUGCUUAACACAUGCAAGUCGAACGGAAAGGCCCUGCUUUUGUGGGGUGCUCGAGUGGCGAACGGGUGAGUAACACGUGAGUAACCUGCCCUUGACUUUGGGAUAACUUCAGGAAACUGGGGCUAAUACCGGAUAGGAGCUCCUGCUGCAUGGUGGGGGUUGGAAAGUUUCGGCGGUUGGGGAUGGACUCGCGGCUUAUCAGCUUGUUGGUGGGGUAGUGGCUUACCAAGGCUUUGACGGGUAGCCGGCCUGAGAGGGUGACCGGCCACAUUGGGACUGAGAUACGGCCCAGACUCCUACGGGAGGCAGCAGUGGGGAAUAUUGCACAAUGGGCGGAAGCCUGAUGCAGCAACGCCGCGUGCGGGAUGACGGCCUUCGGGUUGUAAACCGCUUUCGCCUGUGACGAAGCGUGAGUGACGGUAAUGGGUAAAGAAGCACCGGCUAACUACGUGCUAGCAGCCGCGGUGAUACGUAGGGUGCGAGCGUUGUCCGGAUUUAUUGGGCGUAAAGGGCUCGUAGGUGGUUGAUCGCGUCGGAAGUGUAAUCUUGGGGCUUAACCCUGAGCGUGCUUUCGAUACGGGUUGACUUGAGGAAGGUAGGGGAGAAUGGAAUUCCUGGUGGAGCGGUGGAAUGCGCAGAUAUCAGGAGGAACACCAGUGGCGAAGGCGGUUCUCUGGGCCUUUCCUGACGCUGAGGAGCGAAAGCGUGGGGAGCGAACAGGCUUAGAUACCCUGGUAGUCCACGCUGUAAACGGUGGGUACUAGGUGUGGGGUCCAUUCCACGGGUUCCGUGCCGUAGCUAACGCUUUAAGUACCCCGCCUGGGGAGUACGGCCGCAAGGCUAAAACUCAAAGGAAUUGACGGGGCCCCGCACAAGCGGCGGAGCAUGCGGAUUAAUUCGAUGCAACGCGUAGAACCUUACCUGGGUUUGACAUGGAUCGGGAGUGCUCAGAGAUGGGUGUGCCUCUUUUGGGGUCGGUUCACAGGUGGUGCAUGGCUGUCGUCAGCUCGUGUCGUGAGAUGUUGGGUUAAGUCCCGCAACGAGCGCAACCCUUGUUCACUGUUGCCAGCACGUUAUGGUGGGGACUCAGUGGAGACCGCCGGGGUCAACUCGGAGGAAGGUGGGGAUGACGUCAAGUCAUCAUGCCCCUUAUGUCCAGGGCUUCACGCAUGCUACAAUGGCUGGUACAGAGAGUGGCGAGCCUGUGAGGGUGAGCGAAUCUCGGAAAGCCGGUCUCAGUUCGGAUUGGGGUCUGCAACUCGACCUCAUGAAGUCGGAGUCGCUAGUAAUCGCAGAUCAGCAACGCUGCGGUGAAUGCGUUCCCGGG